CUACCCUUGACAUGUACGGAAGCCACGAGAGAUCGAGGUGUGCUCGAAAGAGAACCGUAACACAGGUGCUGCAUGGCUGUCGUCAGCUCGUGUCGUGAGAUGUUGGGUUAAGUCCUGCAACGAGCGCAACCCUUGUCAUUAGUUGCUACGAAAGAGCACUCUAAUGAGACUGCCGGUGACAAACCGGAGGAAGGUGGGGAUGACGUCAAGUCCUCAUGGCCCUUAUGGGUAGGGCUUCACACGUCAUACAAUGGUACAUACAGAGGGCCGCCAACCCGCGAGGGGGAGCUAAUCCCAGAAAGUGUAUCGUAGUCCGGAUUGUAGUCUGCAACUCGACUACAUGAAGUUGGAAUCGCUAGUAAUCGCGGAUCAGCAUGUCGCGGUGAAUA
rnacentral:rRNA from 1 species